CGCUGGCGGCAUGCUUUACACAUGCAAGUCGAACGGCAGCGCGGGGCAACCUGGCGGCGAGUGGCGAACGGGUGAGUAAUAUAUCGGAACGUACCCAAGAGUGGGGGAUAACGUAGCGAAAGUUACGCUAAUACCGCAUACGAUCCAAGGAUGAAAGUGGGGGACCUUCGGGCCUCAUGCUCCUGGAGCGGCCGAUAUCUGAUUAGCUAGUUGGUGAGGUAAAGGCUCACCAAGGCGACGAUCAGUAGCUGGUCUGAGAGGACGACCAGCCACACUGGGACUGAGACACGGCCCAGACUCCUACGGGAGGCAGCAGUGGGGAAUUUUGGACAAUGGGCGCAAGCCUGAUCCAGCAAUGCCGCGUGAGUGAAGAAGGCCUUCGGGUUGUAAAGCUCUUUUGUCAGGGAAGAAACGGCUCCAGUUAAUAUCUGGGGCUAAUGACGGUACCUGAAGAAUAAGCACCGGCU
rnacentral:rRNA from 1 species